GACGAACGCUGGCGGCGUGCUUAACACAUGCAAGUCGAACGAAGUGGCGAACGGAUGAGUAACGCGUAAUCAACCUGACCUUCAGAGGGGGACAACAGUUGGAAACGACUGCUAAUACAGCAUACUGAAGGAGGGGAAGGCGGCGGAUUGGCUAGUUGGAGGGGUAACGGCCCACCAAGGCGAUGAUCAGUAGCCGGUCUGAGAGUAUGAACGGCCACAUUGGGACUGAGACCCGGCCCAGACUCCUACGGGAGGCAGCAGUGGGGAAUCUUCCGCAAUGGACGGAAGUCUGACGGAGCAACGCCGCGUGAGUGAUGACGGCCUUCGGGUUGUAAAGCUCUGUUAAUCGGGACGCGGUACCGGAAUAGAAAGCCACGGCUAACUACGUGCCAGCAGCCGCGGUAAUAC
rnacentral:rRNA from 1 species